rnacentral:rRNA from 1 species
GAUUAAGCUACAAAGAGCAUAUAGGGGAUGCCUUGGCACUAGGCGCCGAUGAAGGACGUGAUAAGCUGCGAUAAGCUACGGAGAGAUGCACAUAAUCUGCGACCCGUAGAUUUCCGAAUGUGGCAACACAGCACUGUUAAUACGGUGUUAUCAUUAUACGAAUACAUAGUGUAAUGAGGGGAACCCGCUGAACUGAAACAUCUAAGU